rnacentral:misc_RNA from 1 species
GUUGUGAAUCCAAUAUGGCGAUAUUUGAUGUUGUGCUAUUUUAAAGAAGUGCACAUGUUUUCAUACAAAUGGGAGUUAAAUAGAAGUAUACAACGGUGCAAUAAAGUAGCGCCUAAUAAUUGAGUCACUAUUUGAAUACAUAGUGGAAAGAGCGUUGACUAUAAUGACUGACACGAGAAGAAGAGUAAAGCUAUAUGCUUUGAACGCUGACCGGCAAUGGGACGACAGGGGCACAGGGCACGUCUCCUCGUGUUAUGUGGACAGGCUCAAGGGCACCUCACUACUUGUUAGAGCAGAGUCUGAUGGAUCUCUUCUUUUAGAAAGUAAAAUUCAACCAGACACAGCCUAUCAGAAGCAACAAGACACACUAAUAGUAUGGUCAGAAGGUGACAAUUUUGACUUAGCAUUAAGUUUUCAAGAAAAAGCAGGAUGUGAUGAAAUAUGGGAGAAGAUUUGCCAGGUUCAAGGAAAAGAUCCAUCAGUUGAAAUCACACAAGAUAUUGUAGAAGAAUCAGAAGAUGAGCGUUUUGAUGAGAUGUCAGACAGUGUCCAACCCGUGGAACUUCCACCCUGUGAAAUGGGAAGACUGGAAGACAUAAGCGAGUUGGUCAACAGCUGCCUGGUCUCACCAGCUCGAAAAGACAAAUUGGCUGCUGCUCUAGAAUCCCAGCACUAUAUAAAGAAAUUACUCAAUCUCUUCCAUAUGUGUGAAGACAUAGAAAACAUUGAAGGCUUACAUCAUCUCUAUGAGAUAUUCAAAAGCAUAUUCCUUCUCAAUAAAAACACUUUGUUUGACACAAUGUUUGCAGAUGACACUAUAUUUGAUGUUGUUGGCUGCCUGGAGUAUGACCCAAGUCUACCACAGCCCAAAAAACAUAGAGAAUAUCUGCGAGAGCUAGCAAAAUUUAGAGAGGCCAUUCCUAUUAAAAAUCAAGAUUUGCUGGCAAAGAUACAUCAAACAUACAGAGUCCAGUACAUUCAGGACAUUGUUUUACCCACACCCACAGUCUUUGAGGAUAAUCUGCUUAGCACAUUAUCUAGUUUUAUAUUUUUUAAUAAAGUAGAAAUAGUAAAACUUAUAGAGGAAGAUGACCGGUUUCUGACAGAUUUGUUUAAGUUGCUAAUGGAUGAUAAGACACCAAACCCGAAAAGGAGAGAUUUAGUUUUAUUUUUAAAAGAGUUUUGUAAUUUUUCACAAAACCUACAGCCGCAAGAUAAAGAUGCGUUUUACAAAACGUUAGUUUCAUUGGGGAUCCUGCCAGCGUUAGAAAUUACAUUAAGUAUAGAUGACCAGAAGACCAAGACUGCAUCUAUAGAUAUAUUAACUUAUAUUGUGGAGUUCUCACCCUCAGUUGUGAGGGAUUACACUUUACAGCAAGCUAACAACACAGAAGAGGAGCACAUGCUGCUCAACAUAGUGAUAGAACAGAUGCUGCGAGACCGUGACCGCGAACUUGGAGGCGCUGUGCAGCUGAUGGGAGUCCUACGUAUCCUUCUGGACCCGGAGAGCAUGCUAGCUUCGGUCAAUAAGAGUGAAAAGGCGGACUUUUUAAACUUUUUCUACAAACACAGUAUACAGACGCUUAUAGCGCCAUUACUACAGAACACAACGGGAGAGAAGCCUCUAAGAGAGGACUACCACACUGUGCAGCUACUGGGCCUCGUCCUGGAAUUGCUCUCCUUCUGUGUCGAGCAUCACACUUACCACAUCAAAACUUGUAUAUUGAACAAGGAUCUCCUGCGCCGCAUACUGGUCCUUAUGCGGUCAACACACACCUUCCUAGUGCUUGGUGCUCUCAGAUUCAUGCGCAAGAUUACAGCGCUCAAGGACGAGUACUACAACCGGUACAUCAUCAAGGGGAAUCUCUUUGCGCCGGUUAUUGAUGCUUUCCUUAGAAAUAAUGGCAGGUAUAACCUACUCGACUCUGCUAUCUUAGAACUAUUCGAGUUCAUAAAGCUGGAAGACAUAAAGUCGCUCUGUUCACACGUUGUGGAGAACUACGGCAAGAUUUUAGAGGAUGUGGAGUACGUACAGACGUUUAAGGCGUUGAAGACGCGGUAUGAUCAGCAUCAGGAUAAACUAAAAGAGCGGGAUCGGGUGAGCGGCAGCGUCGGCGUCGCCGAGGCCGUGGUGCCGUCGCUGCUGCGCUCGCGCUACCGGCGCGAGGCGCGCGCGCCGGACGACGAGGAGGAGAUGUGGUUCAACGACGAGGACGAGCUCGACGACGAGCCGCCGCUCGAGCCCGCGCCGCCGCACCCGCACGCCCCGCACUCCCCGCACCCGCACCCCCCGCACCACGCGCUCGACGCCAUCGGUAAAAUAGUAGAAAAGAAAGUAUGCGCGAGUACAGAGAGCGCGAACGGGCCGAGCAGAGUGCUGCUCAACGCGGCCUCGCCCAAGCCCGCUCACACCGACGUUCAGGUAUCUGAACCCAGAUUACUCGAUAAGGGUCUAGUAGACUACGACGGCGACUCAGACGAAGAGGAAGAGGGCGCCACGAGCGCCGGCGCCGACGAGCGCGACGCCAAGCGCCCGCGCCUCGCGUAGUGCGCGCGCACACACCCCUCCCUGUGCACGCCAUGCCAACGUCGGCACUAAGAUCGUUAUUCUGAAGGAGUAAAAUCACAAAGUACAAAGGAAAACUGAAUGGUAUUUGGAUACAUAUUGAAUGUGAGAUGCAAAUGUAAAAAUGUAUGUAGAAAUCAUAGUUUAGUUCCGUUUACAAAUUACAUACAUAUUCCGUGAAGGCCAGUUUGCUUAUUUGUAACCAAUUUGAUGUGCAGCUCUGAACCAUUUAUAUGAUUGAAAUAAAAAAAGGUAACGAGGCUCGUUUAGCUAAGGGACUUUGAAUUUAUUUUUAGUCAUUUUUCUUAUCGCUUUUUAUGGCAAUACACCUUUCUACUUCUUUUCUGUAUAACACUUGCCUGUGGCCUGUUAGGUCUAUCCACACCUAUCGGCAAAAGUCGGUAUAUCAUAAUACUACGCUCGAUAAAGAUAUAUCGGCCGACGUCUCACGACCAGAUCGUGUAGACAUGAAGUUUUUUUUAUGACGUCUUUUGCCGAUUUCGUGUGGAUACGUCUGGGGAGACCCUAACGCUACUCGCAGUAAUAAUUGUGUUAAAAAUCUCUUAUGCUACAUUUGCAUAAAAUAUUCCACAAAAAGCUAUAAGAAAAAUGAACACUACAGUCACCUUAGACUAAGUUUCCAAUAUUUGGCAGAAAGCCAUAAAUAUUUUCUUUUUACUCGAAUGACAAAUUAUUUAUAACGGCUACUAUCAAAUACGUCAUGUCAUUAGUUGGUUAUGUAAGGCAUUGACCAAGGUGAUAUGGCCUUCAUAUUGAACAUCCAUUUUGUAAAUAUCUUAUUUAUUGUGAGAAUAAUUUUAUUUUUUUCUAAAUUUAAUCUUAGGCGCUCUUUGUUGAGAGUACAGAAACUUAAAUUCAGUAUUGAUAGAGUUACAAGCUAAUUCUGCACCGUUUUGGCAGGUGACAUAGUGUGGCGAGCCAUAAACGUCAGAUUCCUAUGAAAGAAAAGUUGUUUAUAGUGGCCCUGUCAUACUUUGUUCCUACAAAGUCAGCGCAGUCGUAAAGGGGCGUUCAAAGAGUUCAAUUCUAAUAUGUAACCACAAACUUAAUGUGGUU